CUACGGUGAAUACGUUCCCGGACCUUGUACACACCGCCCGUCAAGCCAUGGAAGCUGGGUGUACCUAAGUCGAUAACCGUAAGGAGUCGCCUAAGGGUAAAACUAGUAACUGGGGCU
rnacentral:rRNA from 1 species